ensembl:rRNA 5S_rRNA 5S ribosomal RNA
GAUUGUGGCCAUACAACACCCUGAAUACACCUGAUCUGGUCUGUUCUCAGGAGCUAACCAGGGUCGGCCCUAGUUAGUACUUGGAUGGGAGAGAGAGUAGCCGUUACUAGUG